GACGAACGCUGGCGGCGUGCUUAACACAUGCAAGUCGAACGGAAAGGCCCUGCUUUUGUGGGGUGCUCGAGUGGCGAACGGGUGAGUAACACGUGGGUAACCUGCCCUUGACUUUGGGAUAACUUCAGGAAACUGGGGCUAAUACCGGAUAGGAGCUCCUGCUGCAUGGUGGGGGUUGGAAAGUUUCGGCGGUUGGGGAUGGACUCGCGGCUUAUCAGCUUGUUGGUGGGGUAGUGGCUUACCAAGGCUUUGACGGGUAGCCGGCCUGAGAGGGUGACCGGCCACAUUGGGACUGAGAUACGGCCCAGACUCCUACGGGAGGCAGCAGUGGGGAAUAUUGCACAAUGGGCGGAAGCCUAAUGCAGCAACGCCGCGUGCGGGAUGACGGCCUUCGGGUUGUAAACCGCUUUCGCCUGUGACGAAGCGUGAGUGACGGUAAUGGGUAAAGAAGCACCGGCUAACUACGUG
rnacentral:rRNA from 1 species